CGUAUACGCCCUCCGUCCGAUAUUACUUGUCAUAAAAAUGGUUAUAAAUAAAUAUAUCUAGAACUAAAAUACAUCUAGAUACAUUUAUUCCUACGAUAAGUAUUUUCGGACGGAGGGGUAGAUU
rfam:Hordeum vulgare subsp. vulgare, WGS project CAJW01000000 data, contig: morex_contig_39042